rnacentral:rRNA from 1 species
AGUCGAACGGGAUCCAUGGUGUAGCAAUACACCGGAAGAUCUAGUGGCGAACGGGUGAGGAACACGUGAAGAACCUGCCCUGAACUCUGGGAUAACAGUUGGAAACGAUUGCUAAUACCGGAUGUCGUUGUCGGAGUCGCAUGGCUCUACAACGAAAGUUUUUCGGUUCAGGAGGGCUUCGCGGCCUAUCAGCUUGUUGGUGAGGUAACGGCUCACCAAGGCUUCGACGGGUAGCUGGUCUGAGAGGAUGAUCAGCCACACUGGGACUGAGACACGGCCCAGACUCCUACGGGAGGCAGCAGUGGGGAAUCUUGCGCAAUGGGCGAAAGCCUGACGCAGCAACGCCGCGUGCGGGAAGAAGGCUUUAGGGUUGUAAACCGCUUUCAGCAGGGAAGAAAAUGACGGUACCUGCAGAAGAAGGUGCGGCCAACUACGUGCCAGCAGCCGCGGUGACACGUAGGCACCAAGCGUUGUCCGGAUUUAUUGGGCGUAAAGAGCUCGUAGGCGGUUCAGUAAGUCGGGUGUGAAAACUCUGGGCUUAACCCAGAGCCGCCACCCGAUACUGCUGUGACUUGAGUCCGGUAGGGGAGCGGGGAAUUCCUGGUGUAGCGGUGAAAUGCGCAGAUAUCAGGAGGAACACCGGUGGCGAAGGCGCCGCUCUGG